GACGUAGGGCGCGAGCGUUGUCCGGAUUUAUUGGGCGUAAAGAGCUCGUAGGCGGCUUGUCGCGUCGACUGUGAAAACCCGAGGCUCAACCUCGGGUCUGCAGUCGAUACGAGCAAACUAGAGUGUUGCAGGGGAGACUGGAAUUCCUGGUGUAGCGGUGAAAUGCGCAGAUAUCAGGAGGAACACCGGUGGCGAAGGCGGGUCUCUGGGCAACAACUGACGCUGAGGAGCGAAAGCGUGGGGAGCGAACAGG
rnacentral:rRNA from 1 species